rnacentral:rRNA from 1 species
UGCCCGCAGGGGAGCCCUAGCACAGGUGCUGCAUGGCCGUCGUCAGCUCGUGCCGUGAGGUGUUGGGUUAAGUCCCGCAACGAGCGCAACCCCCGCCGUUAGUUGCCAGCGGUUCGGCCGGGCACUCUAACGGGACUGCCCGCGAAAGCGGGAGGAAGGAGGGGACGACGUCUGGUCAGCAUGGCCCUUACGGCCUGGGCGACACACGUGCUACAAUGCCCACUACAAAGCGAUGCCACCCGGCAACGGGGAGCUAAUCGCAAAAAGGUGGGCCCAGUUCGGAUUGGGGUCUGCAACCCGACCCCAUGAAGCCGGAAUCGCUAGUAAUCGCGGAUCAGCCAUGCCGCGGUGAAUACGUUCCCGGGCCUU